rnacentral:rRNA from 1 species
AAUUAAAAAAUUAUUUAUUUUUUUAUUAAAAAUUUUAUGUUAAUAAAAAUAAUUUUAUUAAAAUUUAUUUUUUAGUAUUAUUUAAUGAACAAAUUAAUUUAAUUAUAAUUUAUUUGUAUAUUAAUAUAAAUAUGAAAUAAUUUGAAAAUUAAAUUUUUAUUAAAGUAAAUUUUAUUUAUUGUACCUUGUGUAUCAGGGUUAAUUAAAAAUAUAAUAUUAAAAUAUAUUAAUCUCGAAUUUAAAAGAUCUAUUUAAUAAAAAUUAUUUUUAAUGUUUAAUAAUUAUCUUUAAUUUUUAAAUAGAAAUGAAAUGUUUUUCGUUUUUAAAGUUAUCUAGUUUUUUAAUAAAUAAAUUUAAUUUAGAUAUUAAAAUUAAUAAUUAUUUUAUUUAAAUAAAAUAAUUAUUUUUAAUAUUAAAGUUUUAAGGGAUUAGCUUUAAUUCUUAUUUUUAUAAUAAAUAUUAUUUAAAAUAAAUAUUUUUUAGGCUUAGAAAUAGUUUUAAUUUAAAAAUUGUAAUAAUUUUAUAUAAUUAUAUAUAUAUAUAUAUAUAUAUAUAUAUUAAAUAAAUAUAUUUUAUUUUUAUUUAAUUUUAUAUUAAAAUAAUUUAAUUAAUAAAAUUUUAAUUUAAAUAAUGAUUAAAUUAGUAAAUAAAAAUGUAUUUUAUAUAAAUUUUUGAAAGUUAAUUAUAAAGAAUUCGGCAAAAAAAUAAUUCGCCUGUUUAACAAAAACAUGUCUUUUUGAUAAAAAUAAAAAGUCUGAUCUGCUCAAUGAUAAUUUUAAAUAGCCGCAGUAUCUUAACUGUGCAAAGGUAGCAUAAUAAUUUGUUCUUUAAUUUAGGACUAGAAUGAAUGAUUUGACGAAAUUAUAGCUGUUUCAUAAUUAAUAAUUAUUGAAUUUAAUUUUUAAGUAAAAAAGCUUAAAUUUUAUUAAAGGACGAGAAGACCCUAUAGAGUUUUAUAAUUCAAUUUAUUUUAUAAAAUAAUUAUUUUUAUUUAAUAAGUUUAAUUAUUUUGUUGGGGUGAUAAUUAAAUUUAAUAAACUUUUUAAAUAUUUUUUACAUUUAUUAGUGAAUUUAUGAUCCUAAUUUAGAUUAAUAGAUUAAAUUACCUUAGGGAUAACAGCGUUAUUUUUUUUAAAGUUCUUAUUAACAUUAAAAAUUGCGACCUCGAUGUUGGAUUAAAAUUUAUUUUAGGUGUAGAUGCUUAAAAAUUUAGGUCUGUUCGACCUUUAAAAUUUUACAUGAUCUGAGUUCAAACCGGUUUAAGCCAGGUUGGUUUCUAUCCUUAAUUUAAAUUAAAAUUUUUAGUACGAGAGGACCAAAAUUUAAAAUUAUUUAAUUUUUAAUAAUGAAUUUUAUUAAUUUU